rnacentral:rRNA from 1 species
AGAGCGAACGCUGGCGGCAGGCCUAACACAUGCAAGUCGAGCGCCGUAGCAAUACGGAGCGGCAGACGGGAGAGUAACACGUGGGAACGUACCCUUUGGUUCGGAACAACCCAGGGAAACUUGGGCUAAUACCGAAUAAGCCCUUACGGGGAAAGAUUUAUCGCCGAAGGAUCGGCCCGCGUCUGAUUAGCUAGUUGGUGGGGUAACGGCCCACCAAGGCGACGAUCAGUAGCUGGUCUGAGAGGAUGAUCAGCCUCAUUGGGACUGAGACACGGCCCAAACUCCUACGGGAGGCAGCAGUGGGGAAUAUUGGACAAUGGGCGCAAGCCUGAUCCAGCCAUGCCGCGUGGGUGAUGAAGGCCCUAGGGUUGUAAAGCCCUUUCGGCGGGGAAGAUAAUGACGGUACCGCAGAAGAAGCCCGGCUAACUUCGCGCCAGCAGCCGC